UGUCCCUACGGGAGGCAGCAGUGAGGAAUAUUGGUCAAUGGGCGGAAGCCUGAACCAGCCAAGUCGCGUGAGGGAAUAAGGCCCUACGGAUCGUAAACCUCUUUUGUCAGGGAGCAAAGUCACCCACGUGUGGGUGUUGGAGAGUACCUGAAGAAAAAGCAUCGGCUAACUCCGUGCCAGCAGCCGCGGUAAUACGGAGGAUGCGAGCGUUAUCCGGAUUUAUUGGGUUUAAAGGGUGCGUAGGCGGGUUUUCAAGUCAGCGGUAAAAUCGUGG
rnacentral:rRNA from 1 species